rnacentral:rRNA from 1 species
GAUGAACGCUGGCGGCGUGCCUAAUACAUGCAAGUCGAGCGAACGGACGAGAAGCUUGCUUCUCUGAUGUUAGCGGCGGACGGGUGAGUAACACGUGGAUAACCUACCUAUAAGACUGGGAUAACUUCGGGAAACCGGAGCUAAUACCGGAUGAUAUUUUGAACCGCAUGGUUCAAAAGUGAAAGACGGUCUUGCUGCCACUUAUAGAUGGAUCCGCGCUGCAUUAGCUAGUUGGUAAGGUAACGGCUUACCAAGGCAACGAUGCAUAGCCGACCUGAGAGGGUGAUCGGCCACACUGGAACUGAGACACGGUCCAGACUCCUACGGGAGGCAGCAGUAGGGAAUCUUCCGCAAUGGGCGAAAGCCUGACGGAGCAACGCCGCGUGAGUGAUGAAGGUCUUCGGAUCGUAAAACUCUGUCAUUAGGGAAGAACAUAUGUGUAAGUAACUGUGCACAUCUUGACGGUACCUAAUCAGAAAGCCACGGCUAACUACGUG